CUCACGCGCUCCAUCACGGUGCUUCGAUCUCCUCUCCGAUCUCAUCUCCGCCGUCGUCGAAGAGCCCAAGGAGAUGGGCAGCCAUGGGAGUGGAAGAGGGAGAAAGGGAGAACAGAGGAGGAAGAACUGAAGAAGGAGAACAGAAAGGGGAAAGAGGCAAAAAACAGGUGUUGGACUCAGUGGGAUGGCCAUUUCGUCUCUUCUCACUUUGCGGCUGGAAAGCUCUUGUUAUUAACUCUUUUCUAACCCACAUUUCUGUUCAGGCUUUUCCAUAUUUUAUUUCACAAAUUGUAGAGUAGGUUGCGACUAGUGAUGGAAUAAUUAGUUUGCCUAAAGAGAAUAAGUGAUGGAAAUGAUUAAAAUAUCAAUUUUU